UGGUUCACCUAUGAAGGCCAGAAAGGUAAAAAAAUAAAUGUUUUGUACCUGACAAGUUUCGGCUACUUUGCCUCUGCAGCCUUCAUCAGAGGUGUCACAUGGUGUUGGUGUGGCAAAACCCAUAUACUUCAUCACAGGUGAUGUCAUAACAACAUCACGUGACACCUCUGAUGAAGGCUGCAGAGGCAAAGUAGCCGAAACUUGUCAGGUACAAAACAUCUAUUUUUUACCUUUCUGGCCUUUUUAAAUGAACUG